GGACCCAAGUCCCGCUCCCCUCCUCUGAACCCUUUUAAUGAAUCCAAGCUGACCGCUUAGCAAAGCCCCGUUACAACUUUUGCUGUUUUAGAACUGCACCUUGAGGCACGAGUAGGGAAAGGAAGGAAGGAAUAUGUAUAUCCUCAAAGGCACCCAUGGGGGAGGUGAGCUGUGGCCUUUCGGACCUUCGGCGCUGCCAGUCUUGAUGAAUGACAUCUGCAGGAUUGUCUAGUGGCGCUUGGCUAUUGUCCAGCUGAAAGAACUGCCCUGACCCAUGACCCCUGACCCCUGAGGGCUGCCCUGUGCCCUACCUAGAGGACAGGAUUGGAGCUGUUGCUGGGAGCAGAGGCAACAUGGGGAUUAAACGAGGCUGAGUGGUUUGUGCUGGGAAAUGGAUACUCCCACAACUCCCCGAGUUCUUAACCUCAAAACUCAAGUGGUGAUAUUCAUGCAUCCCAACAGUGCUGGAAAGGUACCACUGAAAUUCUUCACCAACCACCGUCUGAUAUGAUUCACAUUUACUUUAUUUUGGAUGAAACAACUUGUCUGUGGUGGAUAAAGUGAUCCUUACAACAACAUGAGAAUGCUUCUUUUCU